UACGUAGGGGGCUAGCGUUGUCCGGAAUCAUUGGGCGUAAAGCGCGCGUAGGCGGCCCGGUAAGUCCGCUGUAAAAGUCAAAGGCUCAACCUUUGAAUGUCAGUGGAUACUGCCGGGCUAGAGUCCCGGAAGAGGCGAGUGGAACUCCUGGUGUAGCGGUGGAAUGCGCAGAUAUCAGGAAGAACACCGACGGCGAAGGCAGCUCGCUGGGACGGUACUGACGCUGAGGCGCGAAAGCGUGGGGAGCGAACAGG
rnacentral:rRNA from 1 species